GUGAGCAGGAAAGGUGGAGUUAAACUCACACUCCCUAGCUCUAGGCAAUAAACAAUGAAGUGAAAGCCUACACUCCUCCUUCACCCCUUGGGAGAUGUGACAUGGUGGCAAGAGCUUGGAGGUGCUGCAGCUAUUUUGUGACCACGAGGGGGAACCAACAAAGUAGCAGGGAAGCCAACCUAGAGCUCUGACUUAUUUUUUUCUUUUGAGAUGAAACUUUGCUUUUUUUCUCUGCCUGAUCUCAAACUCUUGGGCUCAAGCAAUCCUUCUGCCUCAGCCUCCUGAACAGCUAAAGUAACCAACUCUGAAACUUCUUCUCCAAGGAGUCUUGGGUCCUCUCUUCCCCACAGACAUGAACGAACCAGCUCUAUGACCACAUCUCCCAUAACCAGCCCCGGCCUGCAAAGGCAGCCACCACAGAGCUUCUUAGUGAUGUAUCAGCGCAUUCCUGAUGGACGGUGUGUUACUUGGUGUUCCAUUCUCCCAGUGAAACAUAAUUCUCUGUCAAUGGAAGCAUUUGAGAAAAAAACACCUUUCAAAGUGAAACUGUAUUAUGUUACUGGAACAUUUGUUAAAAAUCUAUUAACCUCUAAGAAGCCAAGAACAGAAAUUCAGCAAUAAAAGGUACUCUCAGAAACCACCUCUGGCCUGAAAAGGGGCCGACUGAAACAUAUACCUAUUUGAAGAUCCCUGGCACACAGAUACAGCAGAAGAAGCCCAAAUGGUGACAAUUCCUUUCCAUUCUGCAGUGAAAUGACACAGCAGGAGGUAUGACUUUUCUUUUUUCUUAGCAUUUUUGCCAUUUAGAAAUGGAAUAUGUGAGGGGAUUUAUUCUAUUUAAAACAAAAAAUGGAACUUUAAAUGUGGUAUCAUGAAGCUAGAUUUGAAAUAUUAAUAACCUGAUUUACAUUCUACCUCUCUGGAAAAAUGUAAGCAACAGAAUUUCCAUGAAGCUCUAAGGGUUUGAAAUUAGCUUAGAAUGCUAAUAGGGCAGGGCACAUUACUACAAAAUAUUUGAAGAUCGUAAGCACCAAGAUGGGAAGGAGAAUGCUGUCUGAUCCAAAAGAGAAUAAUGAAAAGAAAUAGGAGGAAAUUGAGCAAAGGAAACUUUAUCCUACUAUCCAAAAAAUUGCUCAACAGUGACAGUGGAACAGAGCCCCAAGGAAGUGCUAAAAGGUUGAUGACAUGGAGAAUUUGAACCAGUCUACAUCUCU
rnacentral:lncRNA from 1 species